UUUGAAACUCCCCGAAGAUGAGAGUGAUAUCGCAGAGGUUUAAAAGGGACCUUCUCAAGAGCGAAACAGUCGAACGCUCAUGUUUCAUCCUGUGAUAAAAUGGCAUCCGCGUCUUUCAAGGGCACCCGCAAGACGUACAGCUUCGAGGAGCGGAAAAUUCUGAUAUCGUUAAUAAAUAAGCACGAGAUCAUCGAGAACAGGAAGUCGGAUCCGAUCUCCAUAUGUAAACGGAAGUCUGCGUGGUCGCAAAUCGCCGAGGAGUAUAACUGGAUAGUCGGGACGCAGGGUGCGCGUUCCGCGAUACAGCUCAGACGUUGCUGGGAGAACAUGAAGACGUGCAAGCGCAAUCGCGAGGAGAAGAAAUCUCGUGAUAGUACGAAAGCGGUUUAUCAAUCGAUAAAAGAUGAAAAACUGACAAAGAACCAAUGCUGGGAGGGUGUAACUUGCGGCCAAAAUACAUCGGAAGCGCCAACAUCCACUGGAACUGUGGGAUUACCACCGAACGUAGUAUUCGAGCCGAAAGAUUCGGAGCCAUUUACAUUGCAAAGCGUUUGCACUGCCAGACCUCAAAAUCUAAGUUGCUCAUGGAAAGAUAAGGAUAAUUGCAGAGACUUAGGUGGCGAUACAUUCAGACAAACUGUUGCCAAUGAGAACAAAUUUGACGCCGUUGCAUCGCUCCACGAUCCGAUGGGUGAUUAUUAUGACAAAUUUGUGGAAAGAAACGCCGAUUCGCCUGCAGUCGAUCAAUUAACGGAGGAUGGCGUUGAAAAGAGUCACGCAAAAAGACUGACUACUUCGCAAACUUUAGUCUCACCCAUCGUUAUGCAGGAGCAGAAUCGUAAGAGGAAAUCGGCGCAACGAGAAGAAGAAUUACAUGUGCUUGCGCUCUCAGAGGCGCAAUUAAAGGUCGAUAUUGCCGCUAUGUUGAAGGAGGAGGCGAAAAUCAAAUUGGAGGAGGCUCAUUAUCGCAAGGAAGAAGCCAGACUUAGAAUGCUGCUGUUUACUUACAAACUGGACAGAAAGGAAGAGGAAAUUUAAAAAGAUUGAAAAAAGGACCACUUUUGUUGGACGCAACAUUUCGCAACAUAGAAUACAUAUUAACGGAGGUCUGCCUAUGAUGGGCCCGCCGGCGGUACCAAACGGACGAGGGUUGUAGACACCACCUUCGCCUAUGUACCCGCCACCCACGAUUCCGCCAUCGCUACCGCUCCCGUAUCCUCCAACUGGUCGCACCGAACCGUAAGGACCACCGGGAUAAUGAGGUCGUGGCUCGUUACCAUGGCUUUGAGGUCCGCGAACAUCAUCGACGAAUCCGUGCGAAUACAUUCCGUGUCCUGACGGCGGAUACCUGCUGUUUAUC